rnacentral:rRNA from 1 species
AUUGAACGCUGGCGGCAGGCCUAACACAUGCAAGUCGAGCGGGGUUUUCGGACCUAGCGGCGGACGGGUGAGUAAUGCGUAGGAAGCUACCCGAUAGAGGGGGAUACCAGUUGGAAACGACUGUUAAUACCGCAUAAUGUCUACGGACCAAAGUGUGGGACCUUCGGGCCACAUGCUAUCGGAUGCGCCUACGUGGGAUUAGCUAGUUGGUGGGGUAAUGGCUCACCAAGGCGACGAUCCCUAGCUGGUUUGAGAGGAUGAUCAGCCACACUGGAACUGAGACACGGUCCAGACUCCUACGGGAGGCAGCAGUGGGGAAUAUUGGACAAUGGGCGCAAGCCUGAUCCAGCCAUGCCGCGUGUGUGAAGAAGGCCUUCGGGUUGUAAAGCACUUUCAGUAGGGAGGAAGGGUGUUGUGUUAAUAGCACAGCAUUUUGACGUUACCUGCAAAAGAAGCACCGGCUAACUCUAUGCCAGCCGCCGCCGUAAGAC